rnacentral:lncRNA from 1 species
AGCUAAGCACAAACACGAGCGCAAUAAACAUAAAAACAGAAUCGUGAAUGUUGCAAAGGAUGAGCGUUUGUAGUUCAAAUGGGGACUGCGCGGGAGAAAAAGCUCAGAUGUGCAAAAUAAAAACUCAGAUCUCAGAUCUUGCGCGUAUUGGUCUCAUUAUUGCUUCAUCAUGCGGCGUGGUCGGAGUCCGGCGGAGGUUCAACGACGGAGAUGGCGACGCGGGGCUGCUAAAGGAGCGGAUGAGGGAGGG